ensembl:lncRNA
GCGGUGCGGUGACGAGGCCCCGGCCCCAGGGUAGCCAGUUGAGCCCUCAAGUCAUUACCAGCUUUGAAGUAAGGGUUUUUCUUCCCUGCCCCUGCGCCCCGGGCGCCCGGACCCUUCCUGACAGCCGAAUGCCUGGUAACCCGAAUCCGGGGCCGGCCUGGCUUCCGGAGUGUGGGCACCCUCCCUCCCCAGCUUCACCGAAGCCGGCGUGUCUCCAAAGACAGCUCUUCCUCACUCACUUCAUAGUGCCUGGGUAUUUAAAGUCACCGUGGUGACCCAUCCCCUGGUCUGGGUUCCUUUCGUCCUCUCCUGAAUUUACUGCGCUAACGACACUCCUUCGUUCAACACACAUUGACUGGUUUCGCUCUUGGCUCAGAGAGCUGGAUCUCCCAGGCUACUGCUCUCCCAAGUGUCCCAAAGCCCCCGUCGCUGCCGCACCGCAGGACUAGUGAGCCCGCGCUGUCAAAAGGACGCCCAAAGAUUGCUGCCAGUGAGGACCGCAUUCGGGCUCUUGCCUGGAGUUCCGGUUCCCGGAAGAAGGACUGGGAGUUGAAAGGUUCCCCUUCAGGCCAGCGCUUCAUUGCGCGUUUGCAUCCGUCAGGACACAGGGCCCAGAAUCUUUCUAAAACGGACUGCCUCAGCCCUAACAACUCGACUGUGGAAGCACAUUAUCAAUUUUCGCUGCAGGACGGAAGUCGCGCCAUCGGAAUACAGCUACGUGGGUGAUUCCUAAAACCCUGGGAACCGUUUCUCAGGACCAUGGAUUGAGGCUGUUCUCUCCGUGUAAAUUUGCGCAGUAGAAAUGGACGGUUCAUUUGCUGAUCUGUCGGCAGCAGCCAAAAAAGCAAAAACAUUUAAGAAGGGAACUUGGAAGGUUAAAGCUGCCUUCCCGCAACAUCUUCCUACACAGCCUCAGCCUCCUCAUGAUCUGAAACCAGGAGAUUUCAUGUAUUGGAAGGGACACUGGAGAAAAACUACUCUUGAACUUCAUUGGAAGGGACUUCAUCAGCCCAUCUGGAAUUCUAGAAGGAGACAGACUCACUUGGAUCCCAUCUGGCAACACAGAGCAGCUGCUGCCGAAUAGGAAUGGAAUUGUGGCAGAUUUAAAGUGAGAAAGAAAAGGAGAUGGCACCGUGAUACUCCCUUGGCUCCUAUCCAGCAAGGAAGGAAUUCAUAAAUCUCUAUAUACUCCCUGUGAAAGAAUGUGGACGGUACUAGAAGUUGAGAGAGCCAGCAAGCUUGUAGGGGCCACUGUUGGGGGGGACUGGACAAUACUGCUGCAAGGGAUGUGAGGUGGUUUGCCAUUGGAACUGAUACAGGAUUUGUCUGAAAUUCAGAGGCUCCGUGAUGACAUUAAGAGCCAAAGGGGGGUCAGGUCAUCAAUGGAAAGACCCCAAAUCCUCACCAUGCCAAGAACACUAUAUUAGUUGCUGUGUAACAAACCAACUCAAAACUUAGCAACUUAAAACAGUAAGCAUUUAUUUAGCUUAUCAUUCUAUGGGUUGGCUGGGUGGUUCCUUGAAUUGGGCUGGCUCAACUUUUAUUGCUAGGCCCUUUCAGGAAGUAGGUUGACUGAUGGCUGAAUGAUCUAGGAUGGGCUCACUCACUGAGGUCAUCUAACAAUUCCUUUUAGUGAUUUUCUGUGCUUUUCCUUCACUACUUUUGUUCUCUCUCCACCAUUCUGAAAAUAAGCCAUAGUUGCAAUUUCAAGGCAUUUACAAAAACAUUUUUGAAUAUUUAUCAGUUAAUCAGCAAGCACAGUGAUGCUCCUAGGAAUAAUCUGCCUGGCAGUCUCCUUCUAACAUGAAUUUUCAACUUCUUUCCAUGUAUGACCUUAAAACUCAAACACACUACAGACUCUACAGUGUUUUUUAAGAUAAGCAUGGGUAGGAGACAGGGGCUGUCCACACUGACGUUUCAGUUAUUUGAAGCUCUCUUAUUUCUUUGCCAUACGAAAAAUGAGAAUGUAGCAUUAUUCCCAUGUGAUGGCCGUAUAUCAUACAGGAAGUCCUGCAAUUCAAUGAACCAAGCUCAAUUAAUAUUACUAGAAGGAAACCCUGUUUCAUUAACAAAGAGCCUCCCAGGGUUUACUGUACAAGGAGAGACAAUUCCUGGAGGACUGGGUGACGUUUUAGGCAUCAUUCCUAUUCCAUCACCAAAAUUUAUUUCCCAUAGGUGCUCAUGGCUGCAUCUAUCAUGUUGACCUCAGUAGAUUGCUACCCUUCCUCCAACAAACAUAUCCAAACAGGGAUACAAAUCCUUUCUUUGUGUCUCCAGAGGACACUCGAGAUAAGAUUUUUUUAAAAAUCAUUGACGAUCAGCGAGAAAUGGAAAUAAUAUAGAGAGUACCAUUAUUUGAGACCAGUGUUUCCCAAAUUUUGCUCCACAGAACAUUAACUUGGGGAACUAUUAGAAGAUGUUCCAUGAGAAAGAUGUUUUGUGGUUGAACAAAGUUGGGAAAUGGUAUACGCUAUACCUGCUCCAUAUAUACUAAAACAUAACAUGAGCAUAAUAAAGGCUCUGAGAAGUCCUGCAACAGACUUCUAGCUUUUCCUAAUCCAAUCAUUUUCAAGUUUAUGAAAGCACGGAACCCUUUAGUUUAGCACACAACCAAUAUUUUAUGGACAGCCUGCCUUACGAUACCAGUUUAGUCACCUGUACUGUACCUCAACCAUUACAAAUGGACCCCAUAAGGCAGAGAUUGUGCUGGAGUCUCUUCUUUCCCACAUCCCUCUUCAGCUUCUACAAAGUACAUGCUGUCCUCAGAGUUCAAGAUGAACUCCUCCAUGAAUAGACAAAGAGAAGGAGGUCAAGGCUUUCUCAUGACUACUUGAGCUCUGCACUUACAAUUCUUCUUUCUCUCUGAGACAUCUUUCCUUUUCAAGAUGAGUAGUACCUGGAAUCCAUUCUCACAAGACAGGAGAGAACUGUAGAACAGUUGUCAAGAGCAAGAACUCUGGAGUCUGACUCUACCCCAUCUUAACUUAAAAUCUCCAUGCUUCAGUUUUCUCAUGUAUAACAUAACAUGGUAAUAAUAGUAACUACUUCAUAGGAUGGUGUGAGUAUUACAUGGGUUAAAGCAUGUGAAAUACUUAAACAGGGUCUGGAAUAUAGGGUGUAUUCUGAGGUGUCAGUAGUUAUUCAUUUCGCUUAGAUCUGGCAGCCCUCAGAAGAAUAUCCCCAUCAGACGGCAAUGCUAAUUUCAAAUGCAUACAAAAGGGACACAUCUUGAGGAGCUAGGGAAUUGUUUUAUCCUGGUUGCAGAUAUUUUGACAGCAUGACUUUCUAUGUGGUACUACAAUAGUUAAUUGAUACAUUUUGCAUUUUCAUUUCUGUAUUUUAUAAUUACAAAAGUAACACGUUAUAACACUGGGAGCCUAUAAAACAUAAAGAGGCAUUAAAGGGAGAAAUGCACUC